rnacentral:rRNA from 1 species
AUGCUCGUACAAGUGCCUGCGGUCCCGACGCGCCCGAUGCGUCCAGUGCGCACCCAUAACACGCACCGGUCGCGCCCGGCUCGCCGACGCGGCCUCCAUGCCGCCAUGCCGUGCUGCUUCGCCACGCCACCAUGCAGCGCCUCGGCGGUCUCCGCGGUCGCCGCACGUACGACGUCACCGCCCGUCGCCUCCGCCUCCGCUACGCGCCAUGACAGCCACAGCGCAGCCCACCUCCAUGGGCCGACACAUGGCCCGGAGCUCCGUCAUGCAGCUGCCGGCGUGCGCCGCCAUCGCUGCCACGCCUCCGGUACGGCAAGCACGCCCAAGACAUCAAAUUCAUGA